UCGAGAUGAUGGCUCUUUGAGCGUCAAUCUCGGAAUGCUCGGGCAAGGAUCGAUGGGCCAACUUUGGGCUGGAUCGAUAAUGGAUCGGAUUGGACUGUGUGGAUCGGGCUCUGAUACCAUGUUAAGCUAGAUGGGCUUCCAACCUAAAACCAAUUGGUGCUAAGUGGAGUGACCCAUCCAUCUUAUAUAUUGCUAAGGAUCCCUUCCAAUAUCCGAUGUGGGACACUU
rnacentral:lncRNA from 1 species